GGGUUGGUAUUAUCAUAAUCUCUCUCUCUGUUAGGGGGUUGGUAUUAUCAUCAUCUCUCUCUCUGUUAGGGGGUUGGUAUUAUCAUCAUCAUCUCUCUCUGUUAGGGGGUUGGUAUUAUCAUCAUCUCUCUCUCUGUUAGGGGGUUGGUAUUAUCAUCAUCUCUCUCUGUUAGGGGGUUGGUAUUAUCAUCAUCUCUCUCUGUUAAGGGGUUGGUAUUAUCAUCAUCAUCUCUCUCUCUGUUAGGGGGUUGGCAUUAUCAUCAUCUCUCUCUGUUAGGGGGUUGGUAUUAUCAUCAUCUCUCUCUCUGUUAGGGGGUUGGUAUUAUCAUCAUCUCUCGCUCUGUUAGGAGGUUGGUAUUAUCAUCAUCUCUCUCUGUUAGGGGGUUGGUAUUAUCAUCAUCUCUCUCUGUUAGGGGGUUGGUAUUAUCAUCAUCUCUCUCUUUUAGGGGGUUGGUAUUAUCAUCAUCUCUCUCUGUUAGGUGGUUGGUAUUAUCAUCAUCUCUCUCUGAUAGGGGGUUGGUAUUAUCAUCAUCUCUCUCUCUGUUAGGGGUUGGUAUUAUCAUCAUCAUCUCUGUUAGGGGGUUGGCAUUAUCAUCAUCUCUCUCUGUUAGGGGGUUGAUAUUAUCAUCAUCUCUCUUGCGGGGUUGGUAUUAUCAUCAACUCUCUCUGUUAGGGGGUUGGUAUUAUCAUCAUCUCUCUCUGUUAGGGGGUUGGUAUUAUCAUCAUCUCUCUGUUAGGGGGUUGGUAUUAUCAUCAUCUCUCUCUCUG
rnacentral:lncRNA from 1 species